GAAACGACUGCUAAGACUGGAUAGGAGAUAAGAAGGCAUCUUUUUAUUUUUAAAAGACCUUUUUCGAAGGGUUUACUUAAAGAGGGGCUUGCGGCACAUUAGUUAGUUGGUAGGGUAAAAGCCUACCAAGACUAUGAUGUGUAGCUGGACUGAGAGGUUGAACAGCCACAUUGGGACUGAGACACGGCCCAAACUCCUACGGGAGGCAGCAGUAGGGAAUUUUCGGCAAUGGAGGAAACUCUGACCGAGCAACGCCGCGUGAACGAUGAAGUAUUUCGGUAUGUAAAGUUCUUUUAUUGAAGAAGAAAAAAUAGUGGAAAAACUAUCUUGACGAUAUUCAAUGAAUAAGCCCCGGCAAACUAUGUGCCAGCAGCCGCGGUAAUACAUAGGGGGCGAGCGUUAUCCGGAAUUAUUGGGCGUAAAGGGUGCGUAGGCGGUUUGGUAAGUCUAUAGUUUAAUUUCAGUGCUUAACACUGUUCUGCUAUAGAAACUAUCAGACUAGAGUGAGAUAGAGGCAAGUGGAAUUCCAUGUGUAGCGGUAAAAUGCGUAAAUAUAUGGAGGAACACCAGAGGCGUAGGCGGCUUGCUGGGUCUUUACUGACGCUGAGGCACGAAAGCGUGGGGAGCAAACAGGAUUAGAUACCCUGGUAGUCCACGCCGUAAACGAUGAGUACUAAGUGUCGGGGAAACUCGGUACUGAAGUUAACACAUUAAGUACUCCGCCUGAGUAGUACGUACGCAAGUAUGAAACUUAAAGGAAUUGACGGGACUCCGCACAAGCGGUGGAUCAUGUUGUUUAAUUCGAAGAUACACGAAAAACCUUACCAGGUCUUGACAUACUCUGCAAAGCUAUAGCAAUAUAGUGGAGGUUACCAGGGAUACAGGUGGUGCAUGGUUGUCGUCAGCUCGUGUCGUGAGAUGUUAGGUUAAGUCCUAAAACGAGCGCAACCCUUGUCACUAGUUGCCAGCAUGUUAUGAUGGGCACUUUAGUGAGACUGCCAAUGAAAAAUUGGAGGAAGGUGAGGAUCACGUCAAAUCAUCAUGCCCCUUAUGAUCUGGGCUACAAACGUGAUACAAUGGCUGUUACAAGGAGUAGCUAAAACGCGAGUUUAUAGCCAAUCUCAUAAAAGCAGUCUCAGUUCGGAUUGAAGUCUGCAACUCGACUUCAAGAAGUUGGAACCGCUAGUAAUCGCGAAUCAGCAUGUCGCGGUGAAUACGUUCUCGGGGUUUGUACACACCGCCCGUCA
rnacentral:rRNA from 1 species